GCCUGCAGCCCAAACGGUCAUCGCCCUGUCUCAGCCUCCACCCAAACCAGCUGCUACCUCUGCCCAGUGAUGGGCCUUCAUUCGCAGCCAAAACGACCAUUCAUGCAGUAUCCAGGACUGUGCCUUGUCUGCAGCCUAACCGGUAUCACAUUGCUACAGCCCAUAGACCAAGAGGGAGGCUUCACACUGGACCUCUGCUCCCUAUUUUUCAUCUUGUAUUGAAACU